CCUACGGGAGGCAGCAGUGGGGAAUAUUGCACAAUGGGGGAAACCCUGAUGCAGCGACGCCGCGUGAGUGAAGAAGUAUUUCGGAAUGUAAAGCUCUAUCAGCAGGGAAGAAAAUGAAGUGACCUGAUUAAGAAGCCACGGCUAACUACGUGCCAGCAGCCGCGGUAAUACGUAGGGGGAGAGCGUUAUCCGGAUUUACUGGGGGGAAAGGGAGCGUAGACGGCAGCACAAGUCUGGAGUGAAAUGCCGGGGCUUAACCCCGGAACUGCUUUUGAAACUGUGCAGCUAGAGUGCAGGAGAGGUAAGUGGAAUUCCUAGUGUAGCGGUGAAAUGCGUAGAUAUUAGGAGGAACACCAGUGGCGAAGGCGGCUUACUGGACUGUAACUGACGUUGAGGCUCGAAAGCGUGGGGAGCAAACAGGAUUAGAUACCCCUGUAGUC
rnacentral:rRNA from 1 species